rnacentral:rRNA from 1 species
AGAGUUUGAUCAUGGCUCAGGAUGAACGCUAGCGGCAGGCCUAAUACAUGCAAGUCGAACGGGAUCCGGUGGUAGCUUGCUACGAUCGGUGAGAGUGGCGCACGGGUGCGUAACGCGUGAGCAACCUACCCAUAUCAGGGGGAUAGCCCGGAGAAAUCCGGAUUAACACCGCAUGACACAGCAGUCCCGCAUGGGACCACUGUCAAAUAUUCAUAGGAUAUGGAUGGGCUCGCGUGACAUUAGCUUGUUGGUGGGGUAACGGCCCACCAAGGCGACGAUGUCUAGGGGCUCUGAGAGGAGAAUCCCCCACACUGGUACUGAGACACGGACCAGACUCCUACGGGAGGCAGCAGUAAGGAAUAUUGGUCAAUGGGGGCAACCCUGAACCAGCCAUGCCGCGUGCAGGAUGACUGCCCUAUGGGUUGUAAACUGCUUUUGCCGGGGAAUAAACCCCUCCACGAGUGGAGGGCUGAAUGUACCCGGAGAAUAAGGAUCGGCUAACUCCGUGCCAGCAGCCGCGGUAAUAC